rnacentral:rRNA from 1 species
UACGUAGGGUGCGAGCGUUGUCCGGAAUUAUUGGGCGUAAAGAGCUCGUAGGCGGUGUGUCGCGUCGGCCGUGAAAACCUGCAGCUUAACUGUGGGCUUGCGGUCGAUACGGGCAUCACUGGAGUUCGGCAGGGGGAGACUGGAAUUCCUGGUGUAGCGGUGAAAUGCGCAGAUAUCAGGAGGAACACCGGUGGCGAAGGCGGGUCUCUGG